UUCUCCCUUUCCUUCUUUCAUAAUCACAAAAAUCACAAAAACUAAGCCUACACCACCGCCGCAAGGAGUGGCAUAUUGCCGCCGUCCGUCCGUCUAUCUAGCUUCCGUCGUGCUCCAAGCCUUCAACCCCUGUUCGCUGUCACCGAUUGCAGCUGCUUCCUUGAGCUCGGCGUCCGUCGUCUUUGUCUGCUCAGCCGCGCUUCCGCCACCGUUUCUUCGCCGUUCACGUUCGCCUCUUCGUUCAGCCGCCGUAUUCCUUCGCGUUCUUCGCCGUUCACGUUCGCUCGGCGUUCACCGUUCGCGUUCACUCGCCGUUCACCGUUCACCGUUCGAGUUCGCAUUCGCGUUCGUCUGGAAGCCACGUUGCUCUGCUUCAAACUCUGUGACCAACCCGCGCGCUCUACCUAGCCGUCGAACUGCUCUCUUUUGUCGCCGCCUUUUUUCGGUUAAACUACGGUUAGAUCGGUUGGACCAGUGAACCAGUGACUAGAGUGGUUUGAUGACUGAUCCGGUUUUCAUUGGUCUCCACCAAACCCAACCUUCACUCACGGCAACAACUUCACCUGCGGAGCCGGACAGCGUUCAUGCUUUAACUACUACCUCUCUCUCGCCGCCUCUGCUGUUGAAAAUAACUUAGAAUGAGCCAUAAAUUGCAGGUUAUGAAUAUGUAACUAGGAAAAGGAGUUGCCAAUUGCAGGCAUGUCCCGUUCCACACACAUCCUCCAUCACUCCCACCCCUUCUUCACCUCUGCCGCAACCUCUGCCGCCAUCACUGCUGCCGCCUCUCCUGCACCCACCACCCUCACCUCCUUCACCGUCAUGCCCCCAGUGCACCCCUGGCCCCGCCGCCUCACUCCUAAAACCCUUGCCUCCCUUAUUUCCCGCCAACACGACCCAAAUCUCUCCCUCCAAAUCUUCCACUACGCCCUAACCCACCACCCCAAUAGCAACAACAACCACCUCGCCCACCACCCUAUUCCCUUCAACGCCAUCAUUCUCAAGCUCUCUCGUGCCCGCAACUUCCCCCAAAUCGAUGCCAUCCUUCGUGAUUCCCGUAUCACCGACGAACAACCGCUUAUAACGGUUAUUCGCGGGUACGGCCUUGCUGGCCGCCCAAAAUUGGCACUCAGGACCUUCACAAGGAUCGAAUCUUUUGGGAUUCAACCCUCCACGAAGGCCCUGAACACCACGCUUAAUGCCCUGGUUCAGUGCAAGCACUAUGAUUUAGCACAUUUUGUUUUUAAGAAUUGUAUGGCCAAAUUUAGGGUUGUGCCCAAUGUGGUUAGUUGCAAUAUUUUGCUGAAGGCUCUUUGUAAAGGGAACAACGUAGAUGCAGCGGUGAGGGUUUUGGAUGAGAUGCCUGCAAUAGGUGUGGUGCCCAAUGUGGUGAGUUACACUACUGUUUUAGGUGGGUAUGCUUUGAGGGGUGACAUGAGGGGUGCAAAGAGGGUUUUUAUGGAGAUUUUGGGGAAAGGGUGGAUACCUGAUGCAACUACUUACACUGUCUUGGUGAGUGGGUUUUGUAGGCAAGGGAUGUUUGUUGAUGCAAUUAAGGUGAUGGAUGAGAUGGAGGAGAAUGGGCUUGAGCCUAACGAGGUUACUUAUAGUGUUAUGAUUGAGGCGUAUUGUAAGGGGAAGAAGUCCGGGGAGGCACUUAAUGUGCUCGACGAUAUGCUUGGGAAGAAUCAUGUGCCGAGUUCGGCGCUGUGUUGUAGGGUUGUUGAUAUGUUGUGCGAGGAAGGGAAGGUUGAGAACGCUUGUGAGGUUUGGAGGAAGCUCUUGAGGAUGAAUUGCAGCCGCAAUGAUGCUGUCACGGGUACUCUUGUUCAUUGGCUAUGUAAGAAGGGGAAGGUGAUUGAAGCAAGGAAGGCGCUUGAUGAAUUUGGGGGUGGUGCGGUUCCAAGUCUAUUGACAUAUAACACAUUGUUUGCCGGAAUGUGCGAGAGAGGGGAGCUCUGUGAGGCUGCUAGGUUGUGGGAUGAUAUGGUGGAGAAGGGUUGCGUACCUAAUGCAUUUACUUAUAAUAUGUUGAUUGAAGGAUUUUGUAAGGUUGGUAACGUGAAGGAGGGAAUAAGGAUUCUAGAGGAGAUGUUUGAAAGUGGAUGUUUGCCUGACAAAUCAACAUACACGAUAUUGAUUGAUGGGCUUUCUUGUGCAAGAGGGAUGGUGGAAGAAAUUAAUAAGGUUGUUGCAUUGGCCGUAUCCGCUGGAGUUGAUGAUGACAUGUGGGAUAUCUUCCUGAAAUCUGUUGCAAAUAAUUUAAAUUUGAAUGCAGCUGAAUUUGAUAGGAUAUUGUUAGAGAGUGUCUCAUGAGGUGCAAUGAAAAACAUGUUAAAGAAAUUGCUGUUUAACCAUGUUAGUGUAAACACAUCAAGGUGCACUUUUCCCUCGGAUCUUUCAACCGGAAACAGUUUAUCCAUUGUGAAGAAAUUGCACCAACCGGAGAAGAUGAGGAUGAGUCUGGUGUGGAUUCAGAUUAAGCAUGGUGGUUGACUGGCUGUUUGGUUUUUAUUUGUUUUAAAGUGACUGUUGCGGUUUAAAGUGUGUUUAUUUUUGUUGUUUUGCUAGACAUUUUUAAUUGCCUUUGUUUUAUAUUUAAUUAAGUUGAAUUUGUAUUGGAUUUGGAUGUGAUAUACUCUUGUUAUUCUAGUUUAUUGAAGGUUUUAA